UACAGAGGUCUCAAGCGUUGUUCGGAUUCAUUGGGCGUAAAGGGUGCGUAGGUGGCGCGGUAAGUCGGGUGUGAAAUUUCGGAGCUUAACUCCGAAACUGCAUUCGAUACUGCCGUGCUUGAGGACUGGAGAGGAGACUGGAAUUUACGGUGUAGCAGUGAAAUGCGUAGAGAUCGUAAGGAAGACCAGUGGCGAAGGCGGGUCUCUGGACAGUAACUGACGCUGAGGAGCGAAAGCGUGGGGAGCGAACAGG
rnacentral:rRNA from 1 species